rnacentral:rRNA from 1 species
UAUUGGGCGUAAAGGGUGCGUAGAUGGCAUAAUAAGUUAUUGGUGGGAAAUCGAGGCUCAACCUCGUGGAAGCUGGUAAUACUGUUGUGCUUGAGUGCAGGAGAGGUUAACGGAACUCCAUGUGGAGCGGUAAAAUGCGUAGAUAUAUGGAUGAACAUCAAUAACGGCGAAGGCAGUUAACUAUUCUGUUACUGACAUUGAGGCACGAAAGCGUGGGGAGCAAAACGGAUUAGAUACCCGUGUAGUCCACGCCCUAAACGAUGAGUACUAGAUAUUGGGAACUUGAUUCUCAGUGUCGCUAGGUAACCCAGUAAGUACUCCGCCUGGGUAGUACGCUCGCAAGAGUGAAACUCAAAGGAAUUGACGGGGACUCGCACAAGCAGUGGAGCAUGUGGUUUAAUCCGAUACAACGCGUAGAACCUUACCAAGGCUUGACAUGUUUGGCAAAACUGUGGAAACACAGCGGAGGUUAUCCAAACACAGGUGCUGCAUGGCCGUCGUCAGUUCGUGCCGUGAGGUGUAUGGUUAAGUCCUAUAACGAACGCAACCCUUGGGCUUAGUUGCCAGCAUUCAGUUGGGGACUCUAGGCCGACUGCCUGAGUAAUCAGGAGGAAGGAAAGGA